rnacentral:lncRNA from 1 species
GAAACCAAUCAUGUUGAAGCUUCUGAAGAAGAUUCAGAUUCAGAUGAAAUGGAUUUCAUAAAGAUGUUUUAGUAUCUUGCUAACAAGAACAAAAGAUUCUCUGGCAGAAGACCUGGCUUUUGAGGAACAAGCUCUAGAGUUAACAAAGAUGAUGAAAGGAUGCUUCAACUGUCAGAAUCCUAGUCAUUUUAUAGUUGAUUAUCUAGAGCUUCAGAAGGAU